rnacentral:rRNA from 1 species
UUAAAAUGAGAGUUUGAUCCUGGCUCAGGACGAACGCUGGCGGCGUGCCUAAUACAUGCAAGUCGAGCGAGCAGAACUAACAGAUUUACUUCGGUAAUGACGUUAGGAAAGCGAGCGGCGGAUGGGUGAGUAACACGUGGGGAACCUGCCCCAUAGUCUGGGAUACCACUUGGAAACAGGUGCUAAUACCGGAUAAGAAAGCAGAUCGCAUGAUCAGCUUUUAAAAGGCGGCGUAAGCUGUCGCUAUGGGAUGGCCCCGCGGUGCAUUAGCUAGUUGGUAAGGUAAAGGCUUACCAAGGCGAUGAUGCAUAGCCGAGUUGAGAGACUGAUCGGCCACAUUGGGACUGAGACACGGCCCAAACUCCUACGGGAGGCAGCAGUAGGGAAUCUUCCACAAUGGACGCAAGUCUGAUGGAGCAACGCCGCGUGAGUGAAGAAGGUUUUCGGAUCGUAAAGCUCUGUUGUUGGUGAAGAAGGAUAGAGGUAGUAACUGGCCUUUAUUUGACGGUAAUCAACCAGAAAGUCACGGCUAACUACGUGCCAGCAGCCGCGGUAAUACGUAGGUGGCAAGCGUUGUCCGGAUUUAUUGGGCGUAAAGCGAGCGCAGGCGGAAGAAUAAGUCUGAUGUGAAAGCCCUCGGCUUAACCGAGGAACUGCAUCGGAAACUGUUUUUCUUGAGUGCAGAAGAGGAGAGUGGAACUCCAUGUGUAGCGGUGGAAUGCGUAGAUAUAUGGAAGAACACCAGUGGCGAAGGCGGCUCUCUGGUCUGCAACUGACGCUGAGGCUCGAAAGCAUGGGUAGCGAACAGGAUUAGAUACCCUGGUAGUCCAUGCCGUAAACGAUGAGUGCUAAGUGUUGGGAGGUUUCCGCCUCUCAGUGCUGCAGCUAACGCAUUAAGCACUCCGCCUGGGGAGUACGACCGCAAGGUUGAAACUCAAAGGAAUUGACGGGGGCCCGCACAAGCGGUGGAGCAUGUGGUUUAAUUCGAAGCAACGCGAAGAACCUUACCAGGUCUUGACAUCUAGUGCCAUUUGUAGAGAUACAAAGUUCCCUUCGGGGACGCUAAGACAGGUGGUGCAUGGCUGUCGUCAGCUCGUGUCGUGAGAUGUUGGGUUAAGUCCCGCAACGAGCGCAACCCUUGUUAUUAGUUGCCAGCAUUAAGUUGGGCACUCUAAUGAGACUGCCGGUGACAAACCGGAGGAAGGUGGGGAUGACGUCAAGUCAUCAUGCCCCUUAUGACCUGGGCUACACACGUGCUACAAUGGGCAGUACAACGAGAAGCGAGCCUGCGAAGGCAAGCGAAUCUCUGAAAGCUGUUCUCAGUUCGGACUGCAGUCUGCAACUCGACUGCACGAAGCUGGAAUCGCUAGUAAUCGCGGAUCAGCACGCCGCGGUGAAUACGUUCCCGGGCCUUGUACACACCGCCCGUCACACCAUGGGAGUCUGCAAUGCCCAAAGCCGGUGGCCUAACCUUCGGGAAGGAGCCGUCUAAGGCAGGGCAGAUGACUGGGGUGAAGUCGUAACAAGGUAGCCGUAGGAGAACCUGCGGCUGGAUCACCUCCUUUCUAAGGAA